GCACACUGGUUUCCGUCUAUACUUAUCCGAAAAAAUAAAACUGUGUUCGAUUUUUGAUAUAUGUAAAGAUUUGCCAUGGGGUUCAUUCUAGUCCCACUGUGCGUCGGGAGAGGCGGUCAUUAGGGCAUCGCACAGAGAGUGCCGAGCUGUCUGUUUGCUCGGGCCACAAAAGCAACUACAAUGGUUAUGACUACGGGAUGUCCUGCGUCUUGUGCUGGCUUCGCCGUUUUUCCGCCGCUCAGCCCUCCGCGGGACACUGUUAACGUGAAGUCUUGCGCCGUAAAAUAUGCAGAAACAAAUGAGCCGAAGUGAGGCAAGGACGUGCCGGCCCGGCUCCUGCACCAGUACCCGUUCACUCCGCAACUGGCGCAUCUUUGACGUUAUGCAGAUUUCCAUCGUUUGGUUUGCAGUCAGCGCCUGAGCCUGAGUUUGAGUUCAUUGAGUCCAACUGCUGCGAGUAAUUAAAUUUAGCUGGAAAUUCUGGUGCAUUUCCUCCUUUGAUUUCGAACGCGCUUCCAACUUCCAUGCCAGCACUCAGACCCUACCCGCACUCCCUUGUUUACAUUAGAAAAAUAAAUGAAAAUUC
rnacentral:lncRNA from 1 species